rnacentral:rRNA from 1 species
GAUGAACGCUGGCGGCGUGCCUAAUACAUGCAAGUCGAGCGAACAGACGAGGAGCUUGCUCCUUUGACGUUAGCGGCGGACGGGUGAGUAACACGUGGGUAACCUACCUAUAAGACUGGGAUAACUUCGGGAAACCGGAGCUAAUACCGGAUAAUAUUUCGAACCGCAUGGUUCGAUAGUGAAAGAUGGCCCUGCUAUCACUUAUAGAUGGACCUGCGCCGUAUUAGCUAGUUGGUAAGGUAACGGCUUACCAAGGCAACGAUACGUAGCCGACCUGAGAGGGUGAUCGGCCACACUGGAACUGAGACACGGUCCAGACUCCUACGGGAGGCAGCAGUAGGGAAUCUUCCGCAAUGGGCGAAAGCCUGACGGAGCAACGCCGCGUGAGUGAUGAAGGUCUUCGGAUCGUAAAACUCUGUUAUUAGGGAAGAACAAACGUGUAAGUAACUGUGCACGUCCUGACGGUACCUAAUCAGAAAGCCACGGCUAACUACGUG